rnacentral:rRNA from 1 species
UAGUAGCUGGUUCCCUCCGAAGUUUCCCUCAGGAUAGCUGGCGCUCGCUGCGUGCGAGUCUCAUUCGGUAAAGCGAAUGAUUAGAGGCAUUGGGGUCGAAACGACCUCAACCUAUUCUCAAACUUUAAAUGGGUGAGAUCUCCGGCUUGCUUAAACAGUGAAGCCGCGAGAUAUCGGAUCAGAGUGCCAAGUGGGCCAAU